rnacentral:snRNA from 1 species
AGUGGCAGAGUGGCCUUG